UGGGGAAUUUUCCGCGAUGGGCGAAAGCCUGACGGAGCAAUGCCGCGUGGAGGUGGAAGGCCUACGGGUCGUCAACUUCUUUUCUCGGAGAAGAAACAAUGACGGUAUCUGAGGAAUAAGCAUCGGCUAACUCUGCGCCAG
rnacentral:rRNA from 1 species